AUUAACAUGCUCAAAAAAUGUUUUAACAACUGUCGAUUUAAUUUAAAGUAAUUUUAAACUGGUUUUAGAUAACUGGCUUGCCUUGGUUUGACUUGUACUUACACUUUAGUACUAAAUUAACACAUAAGCCACAUGCAUUCAUUUUUGAAUUCCAUUUUAUUUUGUAACAUGAAAACAGUUUGCUAGGAGCUAUUCCAGCAACACUAAACAGCUUGCAGAAGCCAAACUUGAAUGGGAUACCAGUACAUUUUGGACCCGAACUUAUUCAUAGGCAUUCACUUUAGAGGUGCCAAUUAACCUCAAAUGCCCUUGUGUUUGGGAUAUUGAUGGAAAUUAUAAAUAAUAUGGAUUUAACAAAUGUAUAAAAAUCCUUUUUAGUACUCCUAAUGAUUUGGUAAACAUUUCACCUUUUAGUAAUAUUAAUAGUUGUAUAGAUGUUAAAAAUAAUUUUAUGAAGCACAUUUGCAUUACAACAAUAUCAUUUUUGACCAGUAGCUACUUUAUGUUGUAGUCAAACGUUUGCCAGAAACCUGGUGCUUCAGUUUCUGUAAAUAAGUUAUUACUGAUCUAUUAAAAAGAGAUGUCAUUCUACACUAUGUCUAGAAUUGAAAAUUGAGACUUUAGAGACCCUGUACUAGAAAACCUGUCAAAAAUGGAUAGCUGGUUUUGCUGAUAUGUAUAGUGACUGUUUUCAGUAACUGGCAGAAUUUGUUGCCACUACAAAUACAACUAAUAAAAAUGUAGUAACACACAAUAUGUACAUAAUAGUUAAUUAAUUUUGAAUUUAAACAUUCUUAACUUUAGGUUGAGCCACUGAUUCUUGCAGACCAGAAUGUAACUACUCAAAAAAAUAAAAAAAAAAUAAAA